rnacentral:rRNA from 1 species
AUACGGAGGGGGUUAGCGUUGUUCGGAAUUACUGGGCGUAAAGCGCACGUAGGCGGACUGGAAAGUUGGGGGUGAAAUCCCGGGGCUCAACCCCGGAACUGCCUCCAAAACUUCCAAUCUAGAGAUCGAGAGAGGUGAGUGGAAUUCCAAGUGUAGAGGUGAAAUUCGUAGAUAUUUGGAGGAACACCAGUGGCGAAGGCGGCUCACUGGCUCGAUACUGACGCUGAGGUGCGAAAGCGUGGGGAGCAGACAGGAUUAGAAACCCUAGUAGUCC